UACGAAGGGGGCUAGCGUUGCUCGGAAUCACUGGGCGUAAAGGGUGCGUAGGCGGGUCUUUAAGUCAGGGGUGAAAUCCUGGAGCUCAACUCCAGAACUGCCUUUGAUACUGAAGAUCUUGAGUCCGGGAGAGGUGAGUGGAACUGCGAGUGUAGAGGUGAAAUUCGUAGAUAUUCGCAAGAACACCAGUGGCGAAGGCGAGUCCCUGGACGAUACCUGACACUGAGGCACGAAAGCGUGGGGAGCAAAAGGG
rnacentral:rRNA from 1 species